GGUGAAAUGGCUGAAGUUAGGCAAUAAAUUGUAAAUUUAUUUAUGAAUCAAAAAAAAUUCUUUUACCA
rnacentral:tRNA from 1 species